rnacentral:rRNA from 1 species
GGGUUUAAAGGGAGUGUNGGCGGUUUGUUAAGCGUGUUGUGAAAUUUAGGUGCUCAACAUUUAACUUGCAGCGCGAACUGUCAGACUUGAGUACACGCAACGUAUGCGGAAUUCAUGGUGUAGCGGUGAAAUGCUCAGAUAUCAUGAAGAACUCCGAUUGCGAAGGCAGCAUACGGGAGUGUAACUGACGCUUAAGCUCGAAGGUGCGGGUAUCGAACAGGAUUAGAUACCCUGGUAGUCCGCACAGUAAACGAUGGAUGCCCGCUGUUAGCGCCUGGCGUUAGCGGCUAAGCGAAAGCAUUGAGCAUCCCACCUGGGGAGUACGCCGGCAACGGUGAAACUCAAAGGAAUUGACGGGGGCCCGCACAAGCGGAGGAACAUGUGGUUUAAUUCGAUGAUACGCGAGGAACCUUACCCGGGCUUGAAUUGCAGAGGAAUUAUUUAGAGAUAGAUACGCCCUUCGGGGUCUCUGUGAAGGUGCUGCAUGGUUGUCGUCAGCUCGUGCCGUGAGGUGUCGGCUUAAGUGCCAUAACGAGCGCAACCCCUUUUCUUAGUUGCCAUCAGGUAAUGCUGGGCACUCUGGGAACACUGCCACCGCAAGGUGUGAGGAAGGUGGGGAUGACGUCAAAUCAGCACGGCCCUUACGUCCGGGGCUACACACGUGUUACAAUGGCCGGUACAGAGGGAUGGUGUAAUGCAAAUUGCAUCAAAUCUUAAAAGCCGGUCCCAGUUCGGACUGAGGUCUGCAACCCGACCUCACGAAGCUGGAUUCGCUAGUAAUCGCGCAUCAGCCAUGGCGCGGUGAAUACGUUCCCGGGCCUUGUACACACCGCCCGUCAAGCCAUGAAAGCC